CCAACAGUAUUUUUGCUGUAAUUUAUGUAACUUGAUCAAAUUACUCGUAUUAAUAGUUGGAUGAAAUUAAUCAAACAAUUUUGGAAGUUAUUUAUACAUAAGGAUUAUAAUAUAGAAUUAAAAAUUCAGUAAUGAAUCAAGUUCAACAAUAUUAUUAUCCAUAAUUACAUACUCUUCCUGAAAUUCAACGUUAAAGUUAACAUUUCUAAUUGAUUGGCUAUUUCAUGGUCCCGCAACUGACGUAUUUUUUUCUAUUUGAUUUUAAUAAAAUUUCAACCCUUCGACAAAAAGAAAACUAAGUUUAGCAUAACUACAAUAAAUUAAAUUAUGGCCGCUUAGUGUAAUUGAAAUGAAGUUUUUUUAAUUGAAUUGUUUGCAGUUAUUAAAAUAUAACCACAACUAUUAUGCAUAAUGUUGAUGAAACUGGUCUGGCAGAAGACAUCAAUGCUUAUGAUGGAUGUGGAAACGUUGGCGUUCUAGUUUUUUUAUUUCGACCGGAUUG
rnacentral:lncRNA from 1 species